rnacentral:lncRNA from 1 species
AUUUCUCUAUUGAUCCUUCCAGUAAGAGAGUGAUGAAAUUUUAAUUUCUAAACAUACAGAUCGAUGGCUUUUGAUGAUACUCUUUAAGAGAAUUUUUUCAAGGAUUAAGAAAAACACAUUUUUAUUGUGAAGCUAGUGAAAGGUUGAGGAAGAUUAAAGUCCAGGUUAGUGAGAUUAAACAUUUCCAAACUCUUCAAUCAUAAUUUUCAUCAUGUUGAUUUUUUAUGAAUCUUUAUCUCCUCUAAUGUACUUAUAAUAAUUAAUCAUUUUAACAUUAUACAUUUGAUCAAUAUCAUUUUAAAGUAGACUAAAUUAAUUAUCGAUUUGCUAGGAAAUGUUUAUUGACAGAAUUUGAGAAUAUUUACUGACUUUAAAUUUUAAUUAUAUAUUAUUGAAAUUUGGUCUUAUUUGUAAAAAAAAUUAUCCAUGCGUAGCAUUGGAUCCAUACUAGUAUAUUAUAGAUUAGAAGCUUACAUUUGUUCGGGUCAGAAAGAAGCUUAAUAUUUAAGAAAACAGUUACAGCCAUAAAAAAAUAAUUAAGAGAAUA